GAUGAACGCUGGCGGCGUGCCUAAUACAUGCAAGUCGAGCGAACAGACGAGGAGCUUGCUCCUCUGACGUUAGCGGCGGACGGGUGAGUAACACGUGGAUAACCUACCUAUAAGACUGGGAUAACUUCGGGAAACCGGAGCUAAUACCGGAUAAUAUAUUGAACCGCAUGGUUCAAUAGUGAAAGACGGUUUUGCUGUCACUUAUAGAUGGAUCCGCGCCGCAUUAGCUAGUUGGUAAGGUAACGGCUUACCAAGGCAACGAUGCGUAGCCGACCUGAGAGGGUGAUCGGCCACACUGGAACUGAGACACGGUCCAGACUCCUACGGGAGGCAGCAGUAGGGAAUCUUCCGCAAAGGGCGAAAGCUUGACAGAGCAACGCCGCGUGAGUGAUGAAGGUCUUCGGAUCGUAAAACUCUGUUAUUAGGGAAGAACAAAUGUGUAAGUAACUAUGCACGUCUUGACGGUACCUAAUCAGAAAGCCACGGCUAACUACGUG
rnacentral:rRNA from 1 species